UUGGUUGCAGUGGCUUCAAGAGCCUUGGGACAGAGACUGCUGUCUGCCCUCUCCACUCACGCUGACCAGCCUAAGGACCUGUGAUCCCAGCAUGAGGACCCUCACCCUCCUGGUUGCCCUUCUCCUGGUGGUCCUCCAGGCCAAGGCUGAGCUCCUGCGAGAAGAGGCCCCAGACCAGGAGCAGCCUGGGCUAGAGGAUGAGGAUUUGGCCAUUUCCAUCACACUGAAUAAAAACUCCGUCCUUCAAGCUCCAGUGAGAGGAGAGAUCUGCUUUUGCAGAGCAUUGUGUUUUCCUUGGGAACGUAACCGUGGGCGCUGCCUCCGAUUCCUGAGAAGAUGCUGCAUCUGACCAUCAAGAAUUAGGAAAAGCAGUUGAGUACUUGCUUGGAGAGCAGAAGAGUAUCACUGUCACUCCUGUACCUUAUCCCCAGUUUGCUUCCUCCAUCCCAAAUAAAGUACUCACUGCUCAG